AAACUGCGAAUGGCUCAUUAAAACACUUAUAGUUUAUUUGAUGGUUUUUACUACAUGGAUAGCCGUGUUAAUUCUAUGGCUAAUACAUGCCCACAUAAUUCUUUUUCCUCUGGGGAAAGAGUAGUGUUUAUUAGAUACAGAACCAACAACCCAUUAUUAUUUUUGAUGAUAGAUUUCAGGUGAUUCAUAAUAACCGAACGGAUCGCAUUUAAUGCUGGUUGUGAACCAUUCAUAAUGGUUCCGGCGAUGGAUCAUUCAAGUUUCUGACCUAUCAGCUUUCGACUGUACUGUAUUGGACUACCGUAGCAGUGACGGGUAACGGGGAAUUAGGGUUCGAUUCCGGAGAGGGAGCCUGAGAAACGGCUACCACAUCUAAGGAAGGCAGCAGGCGCGCAAAUUACUCAAUCCUGACUCAGGGAGGUAGUGACAAGAAAUAACAACGGUGGAAGUUUUAUUUCUAGUGAUUGGAGUGAUGGGAAUCCAAACCCCUUUCAGAGUAACAAUUGGAGGGCAAGUCUGGUGCCAGCAACCGCGGUAAUUCCAGGUCCAAUAGCGUAUAUUAAAGUUGUUGCAGUGAAAAAGCUCGUAGUUGGAUUUCUGUUGGAAGCGACUAGUCCGCCUUUAAUUGGGUGUGCACUUGGUGAAUUCUGACAUGAUACUCCUGACGAUAACAAUAUACCGUAUUCGUACGUAUAUUAUUGUUGUUCGGACUGUUACUUUGAGAAAAUUAGAGUGUUUCAAGCAGGCCUACUGCUUUGAAUACUGCAGCAUGGAAUAACAAGAUAGGAUUUCGGUUCUAUUUUCUGUUGGUUUCUAGGACUGAAGUAAUGAUUAAUAGGGACAGUUGGGGGCAUUCGUAUUUAACUGGCAGAGGUGAAAUUCUUAGAUUUGUUAAAGACGAACUACUGCGAAAGCUUUUGCCAAAGAUGUUUUCAUUAAUCAAGAACGAAAGUUAGGGGCUUGAUGACGAUCAGAUACCGUCGUAGUCUCACCAUAAACUAUGCCGACUAGAGAUAGGAAAACGUCAUCCUUGACUUCUUCUGCACCUUAUGAGAAAUCAAAGUUUUCGGGUUCUCGGGGGAGUAUGGUCGCAAGGCUGAACCUUAAAAGAAUUGACGGAAGGGCACCAGCAGGCGUGCAGCCUGCGGCUUAAUUUGACUCAACACGGGGAAACUCACCAGGUCCAGACGUGGGAAGGAUUGACAGAUUGAUAGCUCUUUCUUGAUUCUAUGGGUGGUGGUGCAUGGCCGUUUUUCGUUGGU
rnacentral:rRNA from 1 species